AGUGUCUUCCCGCAAACCGGACGGGAGCGACGCCGGCCAAGGGUGGCGAUGGCGGUGGUGGCGUUCGUGAAGGCGGAGUGCCCAUCCCUCGCAGAAUCCCAAUAGCUGGAUUACAUAUCGUACUUUCCCUCCAUCUCUUGUUUGCCGCUCCUAUCAUCGUUCAUCACAUCCACUUCCACUUCAACGACUUAUCCCUUGGAAGAAGGGAACGAUUUUCUUCCUGUUUCAUCGCGUUUGCAGUCUCGAUUUACUCAGCACCUUCUCUUUGUCGCGGCGCCAUUUUGCUUAUACCUCCUGAGGCAUUGCUAUAGGGGGUAGCCUGUCGAAGGCGAUGGGAAGGUUUCUUACUAUUGGCGCCGCCGUGGGAGAUGUCUUUUCAGUGCAUUUGGUCCAUUCUCUACUAUGUACAUGUGGUUUGUUAAUUCUUGUAUCGAGUUAGUUCUGAUCUGCACUUCACUGAAAAAAAGUGAUUGGAAAAUUUGAUCUUUGGUAUGCGGAUUCAUAAUCUACAUGCAUAAAGCUUUCUUGUAUUUUGUUGCAAUGACCACAGAAGGUUGAAGAAAGUUUCUGGCAAGUUGGCGUUUUCCUUCCUUGGUCUGUUGGGAUCAAAAUUAAUCAGAGAAGUUUACGUGUUGUUCCUGCACUAACUAAAGACUAAAGUUCACGUGCUUUGGAUAAGAAGCAAUCAUUUACCAGAUUAUUUGGAUUGUUAUCUUGGGAUUUCUGGACCUGGAGUUAUGGGGUCACCAACUGGACCCACAUAUUUUUGGAAGAAGAGCAUGCUUUGCUUCCUCUUUGUAUUCAUCUGCACGAAAAGCUUUGUAAGUACAGGAAAAGCAAUCAUUUUAUUAAUCUAUCAUACGAUUUGUUUAUAUAGUUUUUGUUCUUGCUUCAUUAUGAAGCCUAGAAGGAACCAAAAUGGUAACGAAAGCAAAAAAUAUCCACUAGUGAACAGACCAUCAUGACAGUAUAUGGAGGAGAGCAAAUACCUAGAUCGACCCUGCUAAUGAACUAGUUUGAAUUUAGAUACCCUAUUCAAUUAUUAUUGGUUGAAAUCUCACAAUUUAAUCCGAAAAUCUCACAAAAAUGAUUUUAUCAAAUUAAGUGGGUGUGAUAUGCUGAGUAACUAUAAUUUUAAACAAAUUCUGAAAUAGAUUACUGAGCAUGAUUAGGUACGCGAACUCAACUUGAACAACUUGGAUAUUCAUUGCUUUUUCAUUAGAAUAUUUAGCUUAUGAAGCUAAAAAUUUAGUUUAAAUUAAUUUCUUAAGAAGUUUCAGUCGAUAUAAUAGGAGACAACAAAGUUAACCUUUCCUAUAAAAGAAGCCUUGUUGGAGCAGUCAAGUAGCAAAUUAAAGGUCAGGCAUGAAUGACUCUGUGGUAUCAUGCUUUUGGUGAAAAAAAGACUUUUUGUAUCUUUUUGUGCCCCACUAACUAGCAUUUACCAUGACAGAGAGAAAGGCUGGUUCCAUCUGCAGUGUACUCAUGAUGGCUUUCAUUUGUUUUACAUAAAACCUAGUAGAUAUGUCUGCAAGCCAAGAAUCUGAUGAAGAUGCAGCAGUUCAAAUAUUUCUUCAUGAAUAUAUUUCAGGUUCAAUCUCUGAUCACAAAACAAAUGUUUCAUUCCAAGGAAGACUGAACACUUUUUCUCAGAUUCACUUAUCAUUUAACUCUACAAUUAGAGGCUUUCUUUUGGCAUACCUUUUCCAUCCUGACAGUACUCGUAAAUCAGAUUAGGGGUUGAAAAUUUUUUUUUUUCUUUCAAAUAUUCAUGACCAUUGGACCUAUUUAAUUUGAGUUUGAAUACUCAUUAAGUAUGGAAUGAGUUUAAGCAAAAUGAUAAAUGCUCGACAUUGGUAUGGAACAGGCUUGGAAGUGCAUACUUGGAUGGAUAGUUUAAAUAUUUACAUAUUUGCGAAUUUGUAAAUGUUCCUCAUAUGUCGAGCAUUUCAUUGUUUGAGCUUGACUUUCAAUCAAUUUUUAUUCACUUUUGGAUCUCAUU